AGAUUAAGUUAUUAAGGGCGCACGGUGGAUGCCUUGGCACUAGAAGCCGAUGAAGGACGUUACUAACGACGAUAUGCUUUGGGGAGCUGUAAGUAAGCUUUGAUCCAGAGAUUUCCGAAUGGGGAAACCCAGCAUGAGUUAUGUCAUGUUAUCGAUAUGUGAAUACAUAGCAUAUCAGAAGGCAUACCCGGAGAACUGAAACAUCUUAGUACCCGGAGGAAGAGAAAGAAAAUUCGAUUCCCUUAGUAGCGGCGAGCGAAACGGGAAGAGCCCAAACCAACAAGCUUGCUUGUUGGGGUUGUAGGACACUCUAUACGGAGUUACAAAGGACGACAUUAGACGAAUCAUCUGGAAAGAUGAAUCAAAGAAGGUAAUAAUCCUGUAGUCGAAAAUGUUGUCUCUCUUGAGUGGAUCCUGAGUACGACGGAGCACGUGAAAUUCCGUCGGAAUCUGGGAGGACCAUCUCCUAAGGCUAAAUACUCUCUAGUGACCGAUAGUGAACCAGUACCGUGAGGGAAAGGUGAAAAGCACCCCGGAAGGGGAGUGAAAUAGAACCUGAAACCGUGUGCUUACAAGUAGUCAGAGCCCGUUAAUGGGUGAUGGCGUGCCUUUUGUAGAAUGAACCGGCGAGUUACGAUUUGAUGCAAGGUUAAGCAGUAAAUGUGGAGCCGUAGCGAAAGCGAGUCUGAAUAGGGCGUUUAGUAUUUGGUCGUAGACCCGAAACCAGGUGAUCUACCCUUGGUCAGGUUGAAGUUCAGGUAACACUGAAUGGAGGACCGAACCGACUUACGUUGAAAAGUGAGCGGAUGAACUGAGGGUAGCGGAGAAAUUCCAAUCGAACCUGGAGAUAGCUGGUUCUCUCCGAAAUAGCUUUAGGGCUAGCCUCAAGUGAUGAUUAUUGGAGGUAGAGCACUGUUUGGACGAGGGGCCCCUCUCGGGUUACCGAAUUCAGACAAACUCCGAAUGCCAAUUAAUUUAACUUGGGAGUCAGAACAUGGGUGAUAAGGUCCGUGUUCGAAAGGGAAACAGCCCAGACCACCAGCUAAGGUCCCAAAAUAUAUGUUAAGUGGAAAAGGAUGUGGCGUUGCCCAGACAACUAGGAUGUUGGCUUAGAAGCAGCCAUCAUUUAAAGAGUGCGUAAUAGCUCACUAGUCGAGUGACACUGCGCCGAAAAUGUACCGGGGCUAAACAUAUUACCGAAGCUGUGGAUUGUCCUUUGGACAAUGGUAGGAGAGCGUUCUAAGGGCGUUGAAGCAUGAUCGUAAGGACAUGUGGAGCGCUUAGAAGUGAGAAUGCCGGUGUGAGUAGCGAAAGACGGGUGAGAAUCCCGUCCACCGAUUGACUAAGGUUUCCAGAGGAAGGCUCGUCCGCUCUGGGUUAGUCGGGUCCUAAGCUGAGGCCGACAGGCGUAGGCGAUGGAUAACAGGUUGAUAUUCCUGUACCACCUAUAAUCGUUUUAAUCGAUGGGGGGACGCAGUAGGAUAGGCGAAGCGUGCGAUUGGAUUGCACGUCUAAGCAGUAAGGCUGAGUAUUAGGCAAAUCCGGUACUCGUUAAGGCUGAGCUGUGAUGGGGAGAAGACAUUGUGUCUUCGAGUCGUUGAUUUCACACUGCCGAGAAAAGCCUCUAGAUAGAAAAUAGGUGCCCGUACCGCAAACCGACACAGGUAGUCAAGAUGAGAAUUCUAAGGUGAGCGAGCGAACUCUCGUUAAGGAACUCGGCAAAAUGACCCCGUAACUUCGGGAGAAGGGGUGCUCUUUAGGGUUAACGCCCAGAAGAGCCGCAGUGAAUAGGCCCAAGCGACUGUUUAUCAAAAACACAGGUCUCUGCUAAACCGUAAGGUGAUGUAUAGGGGCUGACGCCUGCCCGGUGCUGGAAGGUUAAGAGGAGUGGUUAGCUUCUGCGAAGCUACGAAUCGAAGCCCCAGUAAACGGCGGCCGUAACUAUAACGGUCCUAAGGUAGCGAAAUUCCUUGUCGGGUAAGUUCCGACCCGCACGAAAGGCGUAACGAUUUGGGCACUGUCUCAACGAGAGACUCGGUGAAAUCAUAGUACCUGUGAAGAUGCAGGUUACCCGCGACAGGACGGAAAGACCCCGUGGAGCUUUACUGUAGCCUGAUAUUGAAAUUCGGCACAGCUUGUACAGGAUAGGUAGGAGCCUUUGAAACGUGAGCGCUAGCUUACGUGGAGGCGCUGGUGGGAUACUACCCUAGCUGUGUUGGCUUUCUAACCCGCACCACUUAUCGUGGUGGGAGACAGUGUCAGGCGGGCAGUUUGACUGGGGCGGUCGCCUCCUAAAAGGUAACGGAGGCGCUCAAAGGUUCCCUCAGAAUGGUUGGAAAUCAUUCAUAGAGUGUAAAGGCAUAAGGGAGCUUGACUGCGAGACCUACAAGUCGAGCAGGGUCGAAAGACGGACUUAGUGAUCCGGUGGUUCCGCAUGGAAGGGCCAUCGCUCAACGGAUAAAAGCUACCCCGGGGAUAACAGGCUUAUCUCCCCCAAGAGUUCACAUCGACGGGGAGGUUUGGCACCUCGAUGUCGGCUCAUCGCAUCCUGGGGCUGUAGUCGGUCCCAAGGGUUGGGCUGUUCGCCCAUUAAAGCGGUACGCGAGCUGGGUUCAGAACGUCGUGAGACAGUUCGGUCCCUAUCCGUCGUGGGCGUAGGAAAUUUGAGAGGAGCUGUCCUUAGUACGAGAGGACCGGGAUGGACAUACCUCUGGUGUACCAGUUGUCGUGCCAACGGCAUAGCUGGGUAGCUAUGUGUGGACGGGAUAAGUGCUGAAAGCAUCUAAGCAUGAAGCCCCCCUCAAGAUGAGAUUUCCCAACUUCGGUUAUAAGAUCCCUCAAAGAUGAUGAGGUUAAUAGGUUCGAGGUGGAAGCAUGGUGACAUGUGGAGCUGACGAAUACUAAUCGAUCGAAGACUUAAUCAAAUU
rnacentral:rRNA from 1 species